GACGAACGCUGGCGGCGUGCCUAAUACAUGCAAGUAGAACGCUGAAGGAGGAGCUUGCUUCUCUGGAUGAGUUGCGAACGGGUGAGUAACGCGUAGGUAACCUGCCUGGUAGCGGGGGAUAACUAUUGGAAACGAUAGCUAAUACCGCAUAAUAGUAGAUGUUGCAUGACAUUUGCUUAAAAGGUGCAAUUGCAUCACUACCAGAUGGACCUGCGUUGUAUUAGCUAGUUGGUGGGGUAACGGCUCACCAAGGCGACGAUACAUAGCCGACCUGAGAGGGUGAUCGGCCACACUGGGACUGAGACACGGCCCAGACGCCUACGGGAGGCAGCAGUAGGGAAUCUUCGGCAAUGGACGGAAGUCUGACCGAGCAACGCCGCGUGAGUGAAGAAGGUUUUCGGAUCGUAAAGCUCUGUUGUAAGAGAAGAACGAGUGUGAGAGUGGAAAGUUCACACUGUGACGGUAGCUGACCAGAAAGGGACGGCUAACUACGUG
rnacentral:rRNA from 1 species